UCGGGAAACCCGAUUCCAGCCCCCCCUUUUUCCUUCUUCCUUCUUUCUUUUUCUCUUCUUUCUUUCUUUCUCUUUUCUGCAAAACUGGAACCCAUUUCCGGCGAAGUCUCAGCCACCGGCCGCACUACCGGCCAUUAGAGGAUCUUCUCUUCCUUCUCUUGCAUCUAAGCUCGUUUUGAUCGGUGGAGGAAGAUUUGAAGGUGUUUGAGACUGUGAACAGUACCUUGAACAGUAACUAUCGAAUUCUUGGGUUCUUGUUUGAUUUUUCCGGACAUUUCUACUUGAAUUUGGUUGUUGUUGCAGGACGUACUGAUCCCUCGAGCGAGGAGGACAAGGGCACGCAGCAGGGUUAGCUGCGAGACUCACCAUUUCAGAUUGGCCGAGAUCGCGUCCAGGAACUAGAGGCUUGGAAAUCAGCGCUUCCGUUUUGUUCGUAGGUUAUUACUGUUACUACCUUGUAUGAUAUCGGCUUAGCUAUGUAGAAUUGCUCUGAUAACCCUUUCAAAUUUGGAGAAUGUUAAUGCUUGAGAAUAUGUUAUCUUAUGGAGGUUAACGUGGAAUUCGUACUUCCGGAAUGUAAUAUAUACGCUUGGAAUGUAAAUGUUAGAAUGUAUCUUUGUGUGUGA